rnacentral:rRNA from 1 species
AGUGAACGCUGGCGGUAGGCCUAACACAUGCAAGUCGAACGGCAGCACAGUAAGAGCUUGCUCUUACGGGUGGCGAGUGGCGGACGGGUGAGGAAUACAUCGGAAUCUACUUUUUCGUGGGGGAUAACGUAGGGAAACUUACGCUAAUACCGCAUACGACCUACGGGUGCAAGCAGGGGAUCUUCGGACCUUGCGCGAUUGAAUGAGCCGAUGUCGGAUUAGCUAGUUGGCGGGGUAAAGGCCCACCAAGGCGACGAUCCGUAGCUGGUCUGAGAGGAUGAUCAGCCACACUGGAACUGAGACACGGUCCAGACUCCUACGGGAGGCAGCAGUGGGGAAUAUUGGACAAUGGGCGCAAGCCUGAUCCAGCCAUACCGCGUGGGUGAAGAAGGCCUUCGGGUUGUAAAGCCCUUUUGUUGGGAAAGAAAAGCAGCAGGUUAAUACCCCGCUGUUCUGACGGUACCCAAAAAAUAAGCACCGGCUAACUUCGUG